rnacentral:tRNA from 1 species
GGAGAGGUGGCAGAGCGGUCGAAUGCGCCGGCUUGCUAAGCCGGUGUGGGGAGCAAUCCCCACCGCGGGUUCGAAUCCCGCCCUCUCCG